GAAGUCUACCUUCUCAUCGAUGACUAGCUCGAUGCUGCAAUUGUAUGUCUAGUUCUUUGACCUGAGGUGCAUCGACAGUUCACCUUGAGUGUGUUAUAGUUUGACUACACCAUAACUCGAUCUCCUAGCCAUUCAGAACCCUGAGGUGUAUGUUGGCUGUAGCAUAUUCAUUGUAGGAACCAGAUCACACCAAGAUGGGAUCUAUCAACCU
rnacentral:lncRNA from 1 species